rnacentral:rRNA from 1 species
AAUGGGGGGAACCCUGAACGAGCAAUGCCGCGUGAGUGAGGAAGGUCUUCGGAUCGUAAAGCUCUGUUGUAAGAGAAAAACGGCACUCAUAGGGAAUGAUGAGUGAGUGAUGGUAUCUUACCAGAAAGUCACGGCUAACUACGUGCCAGCAGCCGCGGUAAUACGUAGGUGGCGAGCGUUAUCCGGAAUGAUUGGGCGUAAAGGGUGCGUAGGUGGCAGAUCAAGUCUGGAGUAAAAGGUAUGGGCUCAACCCGUACUGGCUCUGGAAACUGAUCAGCUAGAGAACAGAAGAGGACGGCGGAACUCCAUGUGUAGCGGUAAAAUGCGUAGAUAUAUGGAAGAACACCGGUGGCGAAGGCGGCCGUCUGGUCUGGAUUCUGACACUGAAGCACGAAAGCGUGGGGAGCAAAUAGGAUUAGAUACCCUAGUAGUCCACGCCGUAAACGAUGAGAACUAGGUGUUGGGGGAAUAACUCAGUGCCGCAGUUAACGCAAUAAGUUCUCCGCCUGGGGAGUAUGCACGCAAGUGUGAAACUCAAAGGAAUUGACGGGGGCCCGCACAAGCGGUGGAGUAUGUGGUUUAAUUCGAAGCAACGCGAAGAACCUUACCAGGCCUUGACAUCCCUUGCAGAGGUAUAGAGAUAUAUCCGAGGUUACCAAGGAGACAGGUGGUGCAUGGUUGUCGUCAGCUCGUGUCGUGAGAUGUUGGGUUAAGUCCCGCAACGAGCGCAACCCUUGUGAUAUGUUACUAACAUUGAGUUGAGGACUCAUAUCAGACUGCCGGUGAUAAACCGGAGGAAGGUGGGGAUGACGUCAAAUCAUCAUGCCCCUUAUGGCCUGGGCUACACACGUACUACAAUGGCGUCUACAAAGAGCGGCAAGCCUGUGAAGGCAAGCGAAUCUCAUAAAGGACGUCUCAGUUCGGAUUGAAGUCUGCAACCCGACUUCAUGAAGCUGGAAUCGCUAGUAAUCGCGAAUCAGCAUGUCGCGGUGAAUACGUUCUCGGGCCUUGUACACACCGCCCGUCAAACCAUGGGAGUUGGUAAUGCCCGAAGCCGGUGGCAUAACCCUUCGGGGAGUGAGCCGUCGAAGGCAGGACCGAUGACUGGGGUUAAGUCGUAACAAGGUAUCCCUACGGGAACGUGGGGAUG